rnacentral:rRNA from 1 species
GUGAGGAAUAUUGGUCAAUGGGCGAGAGCCUGAACCAGCCAAGUCGCGUGAAGGAAGACGGCCCUACGGGUUGUAAACUUCUUUUGCAAUGGAAUAAAAAGAGUUACGUGUAAUUCAUUGUAUGUACAUUGCGAAUAAGGAUCGGCUAACUCCGUGCCAGCAGCCGCGGUAAUACGGAGGAUCCGAGCGUUAUCCGGAUUUAUUGGGUUUAAAGGGUGCGUAGGCGGAUUGGAAAGUCAGCGGUGAAAGUUUGCAGCUUAACUGUAAAAUUGCCAUUGAAACUGUCAGUCUUGAGUGCAAAUGAGGUAGGCGGAAUGUGUUGUGUAGCGGUGAAAUGCAUAGAUAUAACACAGAACACCAAUUGCGAAGGCAGCUUACUGGGAUGCAACUGACGCUGAGGCACGAAAGCGUGGGGAUCAAACAGGAUUAGAAACCCGUGUAGUCC